GACCUGGUGGUGUAGAGGCAACAUUCCUCGAGAAUUGGCCAUGGCGUAUGUAUGAUUUCUGAGGAAGUCCCCGGUUCAAUUCCGGGCCAGGUUA